rnacentral:rRNA from 2 species
CUUCGGGGGCAGAGUGACAGGUGGUGCAUGGUUGUCGUCAGCUCGUGUCGUGAGAUGUUGGGUUAAGUCCCGCAACGAGCGCAACCCUUGAUCUUAGUUGCCAGCAUUCAGUUGGGCACUCUAAGGUGACUGCCGGUGACAAACCGGAGGAAGGUGGGGAUGACGUCAAAUCAUCAUGCCCCUUAUGACCUGGGCUACACACGUGCUACAAUGGACAGAACAAAGGGCAGCGAAACCGCGAGGUUAAGCCAAUCCCACAAAUCUGUUCUCAGUUCGGAUCGCAGUCUGCAACUCGACUGCG